GUGGGGAAUAUUGGGCAAUGGGGGAAACCCUGACCCAGCGACGCCGCGUGAGGGAAGACGGCCUUCGGGUUGUAAACCUCUUUUGUACGGGAAGAAGGAAGUGACGGUACUGUACGAAUAAGUCCCGGCUAACUACGUGCCAGCAGCCGCGGUAAUACGUAGGGGACGAGCGUUGUCCGGAAUUACUGGGCGUAAAGGGCGCGCAGGCUGUGCUGCAAGUCAGCUGUGAAAUGUCUGGGCUUAACCCGGGCAUGCGUUUGGGACUGCAGUGCUGGAGUGCUGUAGAGGCAAGUGGAAUUCCCAGUGUAGCGGUGAAAUGCGUAGAUAUUGGGAAGAACACCGGUGGCGAAGGCGACUUGCUGGGCAGCAACUGACGCUGAGGCGCGAAAGCCAGGGGAGCAAACGGGAUUAGAAACCCGGGUAGUCC
rnacentral:rRNA from 1 species